UUUUAAGCCUUAAAGAAUUAAGUUCAUACUUAAUGAUUGUAAUAAAUUUAUGCAAAUUAAUCGUGAUUUAAAAAAUAUAUCAAUAAAGUCUAUAUGUACCUCUGUCUACUAUAUACAUCAUAUAUAAAUAUAACAAUGAGAAGUAUAACAAAAUAUAUUUGAAAAAAUUUAUUCUUACAAAAUAAUUAUUGAAAUUGAAAUUAUAAAAUAAAGUCUAUAUUUACGCUUUAGCA